GGCGCGUAGUCUAGCGGUUAGAACGCUGGUCUUGUAAUCCUGGGGUCUCGGGUUCGAUUCCCGGCGGUGCCC
rnacentral:tRNA from 1 species